GUGCUCACUUGGGCAGUACAUAUGCUACAACUGGAAUGGUGCAGAGAAGAUUAUCAUGGCCCUGUGCAAGGAGAAACAUUAAGAUGGAGAAAACAGAGUUGCAAAU